AACGAACGCUGGCGGCGUGCUUAACACAUGCAAGUCGAACGAGAAAAUGUAGCAAUACAUAAGUAAAGUGGCGCACGGGUCCGUAACACGUGGGUAAUCUACCCUUAGGCGAGGGACAACCUGUCGAAAGACGGGCUAACACCUCGUAAGACCACGGAAUCUUAGGAUUCUGAGGUAAAAGGUGGCCUCUAUUUAUAAGCUAUCACCUGAGGAUGAGCCGGCGCACCAUCAGCUUGUUGGUGAGGUAAAAGCUCACCAAGGCCUAGACGGUUAGCUGGUCUGAGAGGACGACCAGCGACACUGGAACUGAGACACGGUCCAGACUCCUACGGGAGGCAGCAGUGGGGAAUUUUGGACAAUGGGCGAAAGCCUGAUCCAGCAACGCCGCGUGAGUGAUGAAGGCCUUCGGGUUGUAAAGCUCUGUCGGAGGGAACGAAUAAAGGCCACCUAAUACGUGGCCAUAUGACGGUACUCUCAAAGGAAGCAACGGCUAACUCUGUGCCAGCAGCCGCCGUAAGAC
rnacentral:rRNA from 1 species